rnacentral:rRNA from 1 species
GACGAACGCUGGCGGCGUGGAUUAGGCAUGCAAGUCGAACGGUAUCAUCCUUUCGGGGAUGAGAGAGUGGCGAACGGGUGAGUAACACGUAGGUGAUCUACCCUCAAGACGGGGACAACCCAGGGAAACUUGGGCUAAUACCGGAUGUGAGCUAUCGUGAGAUAGUUUGAAAGGUGGCUUCGGCUGCCGCUUGAGGAUGAGCCUGCGUCCUAUUAGCUAGUUGGUGAGGUAACGGCUCACCGAGGCAGUGAUAGGUAGGCGGCCUUAACGGGUGGUCGCCCACACUGGGAUUGAGAUACGGCCCAGACUCCUACGGGAGGCAGCAGUCGAGAAUAGUCUACAAUGGUCGAAAGACUGAUAGUGCGACGCCGCGUGAACGAAGAAGCCCUUCGGGGUGUAAAGUUCUUUUAUAUGUGAGCAGUGACAUCUAUAUUAAUAGUAUGGGUGUAGAGAUAUUAGCAUAUGAAUAAGCAACGGCUAAACUCCGUGCC